UCUGUGAAGAAUAUGACGGUAACAGACGAAUAAGGAUUUGCUAAAUACGUGCCAGCAGCCGCGGUCAUACGUAGGAUCCAAGCGUUAUCCGGAAUUACUGGGCGUAAAGAGUUGCGUAGGUGGCAAUGUAAGUAGAUGGUGAAAGCCUGGGGCUCAACCCCUUCAACAUCAUUUAAACUGCAUAGCUAGAAUAUGGGAGAGGUACCUGGAAUUCCAAGUGUAGGAGUGAAAUCCGUAGAUAUUUG
rnacentral:rRNA from 1 species